AAGAAUAUACUUGCAGGGAUCAUUUCUAUAGUUCAUUAUUAGAGACAUUUCUAUGAACAUGUAGAGCAACCAGAAACUACAAGAAAGAGGCAUAACAUUCUCUUCUGAGCAUGAGGCUGGCUCUGGGUGUGGUUUUACAACAACUGUCAUUUUCCAUUCAUGACUUGAUGAUCAUUCUUCUCCUCUUCCAGGAGAGUAAGAGGGAGAAGAUGCAAUCUGAGUGGU
rnacentral:snoRNA from 1 species